AUUGAACGCUGGCGGCAUGCCUUACACAUGCAAGUCGAACGGUAACGGGCCUUCGGGUGCCGACGAGUGGCGAACGGGUGAGUAAUACAUCGGAACGUGCCCGACCGUGGGGGAUAACGAGGCGAAAGCUUUGCUAAUACCGCAUACGAUCUACGGAUGAAAGCAGGGGACCGCAAGGCCUUGCGCGGACGGAGCGGCCGAUGGCAGAUUAGGUAGUUGGUGGGAUAAAAGCUUACCAAGCCGACGAUCUGUAGCUGGUCUGAGAGGAUGAUCAGCCACACUGAGACUUAGACACGGCCCAGACUCCUACGGGAGGCAGCAGUGGGGAAUUGUGGACAAAGGGCGCAAGCCUGAUCCAGCCAUGCCGCGUGCAGGAUGAAGGCCUUCGGGUUGUAAACUGCUUUUGUACGGAACGAAAAGCCUUCUUUUAAUACAGGAGGGUCAUGACGGUACCGUAAGAAUAAGCACCGGCUAACUACGUG
rnacentral:rRNA from 1 species